rnacentral:antisense_RNA from 1 species
AUUAGCAUUAACAUGAUAAAACCAGGUACAAACAUAGCUGCAGCCCAUUGUGCCCAAUUCAAGGAUACACCAGUCAAUUUAGUAAUGAAAUCAAGUGCUAAGUAAUUUGGUGCCAUUGCUGUAGCGAAUAAGAAAGAUGUUACCUUUGUUGCAAAGUAACCAUUCUGUAAGAGGUAAGCACCUGCUUUUUUAGCAGUUUCACCAGGAUAUGAACCAACCGCUUCAGCGAUAGAUAAGUUGA